AAAAGAUUCCUCUAUGCCCGGGUUUAGAAUUUGAAUCUGGCUCAGGACGAACGCUGGCGGCGUGCCUAAUACAUGCAAGUCGAACGAACUCUGGUAUUGAUUGGUGCUUGCAUCAUGAUUUACAUUUGAGUGAGUGGCGAACUGGUGAGUAACACGUGGGAAACCUGCCCAGAAGCGGGGGAUAACACCUGGAAACAGAUGCUAAUACCGCAUAACAACUUGGACCGCAUGGUCCGAGCUUGAAAGAUGGCUUCGGCUAUCACUUUUGGAUGGUCCCGCGGCGUAUUAGCUAGAUGGUGGGGUAACGGCUCACCAUGGCAAUGAUACGUAGCCGACCUGAGAGGGUAAUCGGCCACAUUGGGACUGAGACACGGCCCAAACUCCUACGGGAGGCAGCAGUAGGGAAUCUUCCACAAUGGACGAAAGUCUGAUGGAGCAACGCCGCGUGAGUGAAGAAGGGUUUCGGCUCGUAAAACUCUGUUGUUAAAGAAGAACAUAUCUGAGAGUAACUGUUCAGGUAUUGACGGUAUUUAACCAGAAAGCCACGGCUAACUACGUGCCAGCAGCCGCGGUAAUACGUAGGUGGCAAGCGUUGUCCGGAUUUAUUGGGCGUAAAGCGAGCGCAGGCGGUUUUUUAAGUCUGAUGUGAAAGCCUUCGGCUCAACCGAAGAAGUGCAUCGGAAACUGGGAAACUUGAGUGCAGAAGAGGACAGUGGAACUCCAUGUGUAGCGGUGAAAUGCGUAGAUAUAUGGAAGAACACCAGUGGCGAAGGCGGCUGUCUGGUCUGUAACUGACGCUGAGGCUCGAAAGUAUGGGUAGCAAACAGGAUUAGAUACCCUGGUAGUCCAUACCGUAAACGAUGAAUGCUAAGUGUUGGAGGGUUUCCGCCCUUCAGUGCUGCAGCUAACGCAUAAGCAUCCGCCUGGGAGACGCCCACGGG
rnacentral:rRNA from 2 species